rnacentral:rRNA from 1 species
UUAAAUUGAAGAGUUUGAUCAUGGCUCAGAUUGAACGCUGGCGGCAGGCCUAACACAUGCAAGUCGAACGGUAACAGAAAUCAGCUUGCUGAUUUGCUGACGAGUGGCGGACGGGUGAGUAA